rnacentral:rRNA from 1 species
GACGAACGCUGGCGGCGUGCCUAAUACAUGCAAGUAGAACGCUGAAGCGAGGAGCUUGCUCUUCUUGGAUGAGUUGCGAACGGGUGAGUAACGCGUAGGUAACCUGCCUGGUAGCGGGGGAUAACUAUUGGAAACGAUAGCUAAUACCGCAUAACAACAGUUGUUGCAUGACAGCUGUUUAAAAGAUGCAAUUGCAUCACUACCAGAUGGACCUGCGUUGUAUUAGCUAGUUGGUGAGGUAACGGCUCACCAAGGCGACGAUACAUAGCCGACCUGAGAGGGUGAUCGGCCACACUGGGACUGAGACACGGCCCAGACGCCUACGGGAGGCAGCAGUAGGGAAUCUUCGGCAAUGGGGGGAACCCUGACCGAGCAACGCCGCGUGAGUGAAGAAGGUUUUCGGAUCGUAAAGCUCUGUUGUAAGAGAAGAACGGGUGUGAGAGUGGAAAGUUCACACUGUGACGGUAUCUUACCAGAAAGGGACGGCUAACUACGUG